UGCCAGCCGCCGCGGUAAUACGAAGGGGGCUAGCGUUGUUCGGAAUUACUGGGCGUAAAGCGCGCGUAGGCGGAUUGAUCAGUUGGGGGUGAAAUCCCGAGGAUUAACCUCGGAACUGCCCUCAAUACUGUCAGUCUAGAGUUCGGAAGAGGUAAGUGGAAUUCCUAGUGUAGAGGUGAAAUUCGUAGAUAUUAGGAAGAACACCAGUGGCGAAGGCGGCUUACUGGUCCGAUACUGACGCUGAGGUGCGAAAGCGUGGGGAGCAAACAGGAUUAGAUA
rnacentral:rRNA from 1 species